AUUUAUAUCAAAGAUCUUUAUAGGUCCCUGGUUGUAAAGCACUUUAUUUUAGACCAAAAUAAGUUAUCAAAAUGAAAAACAUGAACACAAAGAAUAAAAGUUUUUUAAAACAGGAACAUUGCUGUAAUACAACAUUGGUAAGCCUAGUAACAUGUUAAUAACACUCCAUAAACAGUUAACAAGACAUGAAUAAACCUGAAUAAGUACCUUAGUAGCACCACACUGAUGCAUAGAUAGAUUGCUCUUGUAUUGGCACCAUCGUUAGGAGAAAGUGUCCCCUGGACGUGGGGUCCUGAUUUUGGUCUGGGUGUCAUUGAUGUGGUCAGGUCUAGGGUGUGGUUAGUCUAUGAUUGGGAGGUAGUCAGGUCUAGGGUAUAGUUAGACUAUGGUUGGGAUGUAGUCAGGUCUAGGGUAUGGUUAGACUAUGGUUGGGAUGUAGUCAGGUCUAGGGUAUGGUUAGACUAUGGUUGGGAUGUAGACAGGUCUAGGGUAUGGUUAGACUAUGGUUGGGAUGUAGUCAGGUCUAGGGUAUGGUUAGACUAUGGUUGGGAUGUAGUCAGGUCUAGGGUAUGGUUAGACUAUGGUUGGGAUGUAGUCAGGUCUAGGGUAUGGUUAGACUAUGGUUGGGAUGUAGUCAGGUCUAGGGUAUGGUUAGACUAUGGUUGGGAUGUAGUCAGGGUUAGCUGUUUACGGUAUAGUUAGACUAUGGUUGGGAUGUAGUCAGGGUUAGCUGUUUACGGUAUAGUUAGACUAUGGUUGGGAUGUAGUCAGGUCUAGGGUAUGGUUAGACUAUGGUUGGGAUGUAGACAGGUCUAGGGUAUGGUUAGACUAUGGUUGGGAUGUAGUCAGGUCUAGGGUAUGGUUAGACUAUGGUUGGGAUGUAGUCAGGUCUAGGGUAUGGUUAGACUAUGGUUGGGAUGUAGUCAGGGUUAGCUGUUUACGGUAUAGUUAGACUA